UACGGAGGGGGCAAGCGUUGUUCGGAUUUACUGGGCGUAAAGGGUGUGUAGGCGGCUGCGUAAGUCUGGUGUGAAAUCUUCACCGCUCAACGGGAAGAGGUCACUGGAAACUGCGUAGCUCGAGUGUGGUAGAGGCAAGCGGAAUUCCUGGUGUAGCGGUGGAAUGUUAAAAUAUCAGGAAGAACACCGGUGGCGAAGGCGGCUUGCUGGGCCACUACUGACGCUGAGACACGAAAGCGUGGGGAGCGAACGGG
rnacentral:rRNA from 1 species